rnacentral:rRNA from 1 species
UACGUAGGGUGCGAGCGUUGUCCGGAAUUAUUGGGCGUAAAGAGCUCGUAGGCGGUGUGUCGCGUCGGCCGUGAAAACCUGGGGCUCAACUCUGGGCGUGCGGUCGAUACGGGCAUCACUGGAGUUCGGCAGGGGAGACUGGAAUUCCUGGUGUAGCGGUGAAAUGCGCAGAUAUCAGGAGGAACACCGAUGGCGAAGGCAGGUCUCUGGGCCAUAACUGACGCUGAGAAGCGAAAGCAUGGGGAGCGAACAGGA